AGUGAACGCUAGCGGUAGGCCUAACACAUGCAAGUCGAGCGGCAGCACAGUAAAAGCUUGCUCUUACGGGUGGCGAGUGGCAGACGGGUGUGGAAUACAUCCGACUCUACUUUUUCGUGGGGGAUAACGUAGGGAAACUUACGCUAAUACCGCAUACGACAUACCUGUGCAAGCAGGGGAUCUUCGGGACUUUCGCGAUAGGAUGAGCCGAUGUCGGAUUAGCUAGUUGGCGGGGUAAAGGCCCACCAAGGCGACGAUCCGUAGCUGGUCUGAGAGGAUGAGCAUCCACCCUGGAACUGAGACACGGCCCAGACCCCUACGGGAGGCAGCAGUGGGGAAUAUUGGACAAUGGGCGCAAGCCUGAUCCAGACAUACCGCGUGGGUGAAGAAGGCCUUCGGGUUGUAAAGCCCUUCUGUUGGGAAAGAAAAGUAGCAGGUGAAUACCCCGCUGUUCUGACGGUACCCAAAGAAUAAGCACCGGCUAACUUCGUG
rnacentral:rRNA from 1 species